AGUGAACGCUGGCGGUAGGCCUAACACAUGCAAGUCGAACGGCAGCACAGUAAGAGCUUGCUCUUACGGGUGGCGAGUGGCGGACGGGUGAGGAAUACAUCGGAAUCUACUUUUUCGUGGGGGAUAACGUAGGGAAACUUACGCUAAUACCGCAUACGACCUACGGGUGAAAGCAGGGGAUCUUCGGACCUUGCGCGAUUGAAUGAGACGAUGUCGGAUUAGCUAGUUGGGGAGGUAAAGGCACACCAAGGCGACGAUCCGUAGCUGAUCUGAGAGGAUGAUCAGCCACACUGGAACUGAGACACGGUCCAGACUCCUACGGGAGGCAGCAGUGGGGAAUAUUGGACAAUGGGCGCAAGCCUGAUCCAGCCAUACCGCGUGAGUGAAGAAGGCCUUCGGGUUGUAAAGCCCUUUUGUUGGGAAAGAAAAACAGCAUAUUAAUACCCCGCUGUUCUGACGGUACCCAAACAAUAAGCACCGGCUAACUUCGUG
rnacentral:rRNA from 1 species